GACGUAGGGCGCGAGCGUUGUCCGGAUUUAUUGGGCGUAAAGAGCUCGUAGGCGGCUUGUCGCGUCGAAUGUGAAACUCUCAGGGCUCAACUCUGACAUUGCAUUCGAUACGGGCAGGCUAGAGUUCGGUAGGGGAGACUGGAAUUCCUGGUGUAGCGGUGAAAUGCGCAGAGUAUCAGGAGGAACACCCGGUGGCGAAGGCGGGUCUCUGGGCCGAUACUGACGCUGAGGAGCGAAAGCGUGGGGAGCGAACAGG
rnacentral:rRNA from 1 species